rnacentral:tRNA from 1 species
UGGCUCGUAGCUCAGGGGUAGAGCACCACCUUGACAUGGUGGGGGUCGGCAGUUCGAAACUGCCCGAGCCAACCA